UAUAAAAGAGCAGUUUAACUUUAAAAUUUUAGCGCCAUUUUUUAAAGGGAUUUAAAAAGACGUGAUUAACUUUCUGCUCGAGAUAACCGCAGAUUUAUAGAUAGCUUUAUACGGUUUUUAUCCUUAAUUCCUUCAAAGAAAAAUAAAAACUACCCAUGAUCCCAUUAUUUUCCGUAACUGAAACUCUCUCUCUUCUUCUAAAAGAUACCUAUCUAUAAAAUACAAUCGCUUUUCACUUCUUUUCAACCAUCGCAACCGCUGGUCUGCUGCUAUCUUCCGCCUCUCAGUUCGCCGCCGUUACCUAUCAUCCACAGCAGGAACGUCACUGUCAUUAGCACCGUUUUCCCAUCUAACUUAUCGACAUUGUCGAGUCGUGACCUCGCCGGUGACCGUUGUACCAGUUUGGCAUUGUUUGACAGCUACCGUCGUCCGGCAGAACAGACACCAGCGUGCCCCCACCCCCGGCUAUUAGUCAAUCAAUACAGAAAAUGAAGGUUUGAAGUUGUUACGGAAGUUGGUGGAGUUUUAAGGUUUCUCACAAUUUUUUGAGGUUUUUAAUAUUUUAGUUUUUAUAUUGUAGAUUUCGAAUAAUUUCUAUGUAUCUUUUCGGUAUUAGAUCUCUGAAUAUCUCAUCCACUGAAAGCUUUGAUCGAUAGAUUAGGUUCUUCGAAUUUGCUUUGAUCAUCAAAUACGGUGAUGAGCUCUCACAGUUGGUAUCUAUCCACAUGAUAGUGCAUUAUGUGGUAGAAUUGAGAGUGUGGAUUGCCCCUAUAUGUGAGUUGGUUUUAUUCCAGCAUGGAUGUGAUUCUGCCAGUAUUUGUGAUCUUCCACUUCAGGUAUGUAGAAGUGGAACUUCUGUAGUGAACUGGGCUAGGAAGAUAAUUUCAUUUUAUAGUCUGUUGUGCGGAACAGAGCAAUCUGGAAAAAGUCUUUCAACUGGUGUUACCUGUAAUAUUGCGCAUAUUCGAGAAGAGCUAACAGUUUGGGAAUGGUUGGUGAAAGAUUUGGCUUGCAUCAUCCAGACUUGCUGCCAGCUGGUGUGUCUCUUCCUCUUAGGCAUGCAAUAGAUAACUGCCGCGAGUCUCCUCCUACAAAUUGGCCAGCUGCUGCAUAUGUGCUACUUGGUCGUGAAGAUUUAGCAUUGCUCCAUUUGAGAGAUACUACAAAAUAUCCCGAGCUUGAUUGUACAUGAUCAAAUUUAAUCUUGGGUUCUACACCUUACAUGUUACCACUACAUCCAAUGACUAUACCUUCCUCAGUUUCUGAUACACUUGAAAUGAAUAAUUCGAAGCUAGAGGACAUAGAUAAUUUUGAGGGACCGAUGAUUGAUGGAAUGGAACAUAUUUUCAAUUCUAGCACGCAGUUACACUAUGGUUGUGAUCUCCGCCUUAAUAAUGGGUCGAGAAAACACAAAAAGAAAAAUAAAUUAGUUUUAGUAGGCUUCUACUAUUUCAGUUGAAAAAUAUGUUUGAUUAGGGACAAUAUAUUGUAUUGCUAUUGUGUAUGAAUAUUUAUUGUAAUAUAGUGUUUAUUAAUAA